rnacentral:rRNA from 1 species
GACGAACGCUGGCGGCUUUCUUCCCCCCUUCCCUUCGAACUUCCCGGCCCUGCUUUUUUUUUUUUCUCGCUUGGCUAACGGUUGAGUAACCCGUGAGUCCCCUUCCCUUGACUUAUGUAUAACUUCAUGAACCUGGGGCUACUACCGGAUCGGCGCUCCUGCUGCAUGGUGGGGGUUGGAAAGUUUCGGCGGUUGGGGAUGGACUCGCGGCUUAUCAGCUUGUUGGUGGGGUAGUGGCUUACCAAGGCUUUGACGGGUAGCCGGCCUGAGAGGGUGACAGGAAACAUGGGGAAGGAGAUACGGACCAGACUACUACGGGAGGCAGCAGUGGGGAAUAUUGCACAAUGGGCGGAAGCCUGAUGCAGCAACGCCGCGUGCGGGAGGAAGGCAGGCGGGUUGUAAACCGCUUUCGCCUGUGACGAAGCGUGAGUGACGGUAAUGGGUAAAGAAGCAACGGCUAACUACGUG